rnacentral:rRNA from 1 species
GAUGAACGCUGGCGGCGUGCCUAAUACAUGCAAGUCGAGCGAACAGACGAGGAGCUUGCUCCUCUAACGUUAGCGGCGGACGGGUGAGUAACACGUGGAUAACCUACCUAUAAGACUGGGAUAACUUCGUGAAACCGGAGCUAAUACCGGAUAAUAUAUUGAACCGCAUGGUUCAAUAGUGAAAGACGGUUUUGCUGUCACUUAUAGAUGGAUCCGCGCCGCAUUAGCUAGUUGGUAAGGUAACAGCUUACCAAGGCAACGAUGCGUAGCCGACCUGAGAGGGUGAUCGGCCACACUGGAACUGAGACACGGUCCAGACUCCUACGGGAGGCAGCAGUAGGGAAUCUUCCGCAAUGGGCGAAAGCCUGACGGAGCAACGCCGCGUGAGUGAUGAAGGUCUUCGGAUCGUAAAACUCUGUUAUUAGGGAAGAACAAAUGUGUAAGUAACUAUGCACGUCUUGACGGUACCUAAUCAGAAAGCCACGGCUAACUACGUG